GCACGGCCCGGAAGGAGGCCUGGAGCCGCCCAGCGACAGCAAGGCCGCCGAGGACGCCGGCCCAGCGGUGAUUGUCACCGUCAGCUGGCUGCACGGAGCAACGAAUACCUUUGCCUACGG
rnacentral:SRP_RNA from 1 species